CUCCCACGACUCUCAGGACGAACGCUGGCGGCGUGCUUAACACAUGCAAGUCGAACGGAUCCGGUCUUUCGGGGCCGGGUUAGUGGCGAACGGGUGAGUAACACGUGGGUAACCUGCCUCAGACUCUGGGAUAACUCCGGGAAAACCGGGGCUAAUACCGGAUAYGACCUGUCUCCGCAUGGGGAUGGGUGGAAAGUUUUUCGGUCUGGGGAUGGGCCCGCGGCCUAUCAGCUUGUUGGUGGGGUGAUGGCCUACCAAGGCGUUGACGGGUAGCCGGCCUGAGAGGGCGACCGGCCACACUGGGACUGAGACACGGCCCAGACUCCUGCGGGAGGCAGCAGUGGGGAAUAUUGCGCAAUGGGCGGAAGCCUGACGCAGCGACGCCGCGUGGGGGAUGACGGCCUUCGGGUUGUAAACCUCUUUCAGCAGGGACCAAGCGUGAGUGAGUGUACCUGCAGAAGAAGCACCGGCUAACUACGUGCCAGCAGCCGCGGUAAUACGUAGGGUGCGAGCGUUGUCCGGAUUUAUUGGGCGUAAAGGGCUCGUAGGCGGCUAGUCGCGUCGGGAGUGAAAGCCCGCUGCUUAACGGCGGGUUGGCUUCCGGUACGGGCUGGCUGGAGUGUGGCAGGGGAGACUGGAAUUCCUGGUGUAGCGGUGGAAUGCGCAGAUAUCAGGAGGAACACCGGUGGCGAAGGCGGGUCUCUGGGCCAUUACUGACGCUGAGGAGCGAAAGCGUGGGGAGCGAACAGGAUUAGAUACCCUGGUAGUCCACGCUGUAAACGUUGGGCGCUAGGUGUGGGGCCUGUUUCCACGGGUUCCGUGCCGGAGCUAACGCAUUAAGCGCCCCGCCUGGGGAGUACGGCCGCAAGGCUAAAACUCAAAGGAAUUGACGGGGGCCCGCACAAGCGGCGGAGCAUGCGGCUUAAUUCGAU
rnacentral:rRNA from 1 species